CUUGCUUCCGAUGACGACCGGCGAACGGGUGAGUAACGCGUACACAACCUACCUUCAAGUGGGGGAUAGCCUCGGGAAACUGAGAUUAAUACCCCAUGUGAUUAACUUAUAGUAUGAUUGGUUAAUUAAAGUUCCGGCGCUUGAAGAUGGGUGUGCGUCCCAUUAGGUAGUUGGUGAGGUAACGGCUCACCAAGCCGACGAUGGGUAGGGGGCGUGAGAGCGUGGCCCCCCACACGGGUACUGAGACACGGACCCG
rnacentral:rRNA from 1 species